rnacentral:lncRNA from 1 species
GACUGAGCUACCCAGGCACCCUUAUUAACAAUAUUUAAAUGUUAAGUACACACACACACAACACACACACACACACACAAACUACACAUAUAGUGUAUUAUAGCUUCUCUAUUUUAUGCAGAGAAUUUCAUUCUGGCAUUACUAGCUGUUCUAUUUUACUGGUCCCAUUAGAAAUUGUGUUGUCUCUUCUAGAGAACUAGAUUUGGUCAUCCUGAGUAUGGUGGUGAUAUCUUCCUCAGUGAGAAAGAAAUUACAAGAACAGAAGUCAGUUGGGUGCCUGUGAAGCACUGCUUUCUCAAGUACUUUUUUCCACUGGAUUUCUGCCUUUUCUUCCCCCACCUUCACCUCAUGAAGUUCUGUGCAUCAUUCAAGGUCAAUUUCUAGCAUCAGGCCCUUCAAGAUCUUGCUCACAUGGGAUUGGUGAGUGUCUGUGGUGUUGCAGGUACCAUGUCAAAGUGUGGAAUAGCAAGAUGUCUAAGACAAGGUACUGUCCUUCAGGAAACAUACAAUGUAAUGGAGGGAACUCCCUCAGAGAUCGUUUCAGUAUAAGGAGUGAGUCCAGCAGUAGAAGUGUUACAAACACAUUCUUCGUUCCUUAUUUGAACCGCCAAAGCAGGUGGCUGAUGUCCCUCUUUUGACAAUAAUCUUAUUCAGUAAUAAAGUACAGUGCAAAGAGAAGCUUUAUUAAACU